UCACCCACGUCGCUGUUGCAGGAUCUUCAUCCGUCAUCCUGAGCAAUUGGGGCGGCGAUGCGGGCGAGCUUCACGAUAGUGGGGAGGACCAGGCCGCGGUGAAGGCAGGUCAUGCGCUCCUCACGCUCCACGAACGGAACCUGCGCACGGAGGCGGUAGCGCGGGGUGGCAGCCGGCAAUGAGGCGGCCGCGCUACGUGACGAGCUACGGGUCCCCCUUUGUGAUGUUUUGGCAUCGCUCCUUCAUCGCACAUCCUCAGGUACGUCAAUUCACUUCCUUCCCUUCCCUUCGUCCCUCGGUCCCACGCUCGUGGCGCUGAAGUGGUGGCAACAGGCGAUGGCGGUGGUGUCGCUGAUGGCGACGAGGACAGCAUGUGGCAGCUCCCGAAGCAUGAACACGACCGCACCUCGGGCCUGCCGUCUGCCAAGAUAUGGCUCUGGCCGAUUGACAAUGGAGGUUUGGGAUCCUUCCUCUCAGCACCCACUCCUGGAAGAAUCAGCGGUGCGCCACGCCGAUUGAACCCCGUCGAGAUCACUCGCCAAGAUUGCUAUUCUGAAGUUUAUUGUAAAGAAAGUGAAGAGUGAGACAGGAUCCGUUUAUUUUCAACCGGUUUAUUUUCAACUGGUUUAUUUCCAUCAAAU